UGAUCCUUAGUAAUUUUUCAACC
rnacentral:snRNA from 1 species